CAAGACGUGAACAGUGUUAUUAAAACGUUUUGUUCAGUCAAACUAAACUAUCUAAAUUCCAAUAAGUGCUAAAAAUUGACAAGUCGAUUAUUUAGAAACCUAAUUACUACGGGCACUAUCGAAGACCAUUAUCAAAUACAUAGUACAUAUAGAGGUCAAGAAAGAUAAUGAAAACGAUUUUCUUUUUAAAAAACAAAUGAAGCAAGCCCAAUGUUCACAUAGGUUUUAAUGUCAUAAACAUGCGACGAAUAUUUGAAUCAAAGGACAAUGGAUCAUACGCAGUGUACUUCAAAAGAUUCAAGAGAAUUAAAACCAAGUUACAAAAGUUGUAUCAGAAGUAAUAAAAACCUAUCGACCUUUAACGGUUUAUAAUUUUGAAUCUUCCCUAUCAAAUCCCCGAGACUGUGGACUCCAAGUUAAUUUAGAAGAAUCGUAUCUCAAACAAGCGACUCACGGAGCUUACACACACAAUGGUACCAUUUUGCAGCCCUAAUUUUUUAUCUCUGUCGCUCUUUCGGCAUCGGCAUACUGUGUUCUCUUUCCUGUUUUAGAGGGAUCGAGUAUGGCGGAAGCUGUGAGGGAAGUAACGGGGACAGGAUGUUGUAAGGGUGGAAGGGUGCUUGUUCAAGUGAAAUGAGUCGAUUUUAAGGGUAAAUUUCAGAGGGGAACAAUCAUUGACCGUAAUACCCAUAUUUGUAUGCGAAGCUAGUACCAAAAUUAAAAUGGUGUGUGCAUAAAUACCUAAUUAUAUAAGUGGGUACCUACAGUUCGUGCGCUAUAGCAUGGUGCGGGUGACAGUUCGUUUCACUCUUGAAAGUUUGUCGCGAUUCACCGUAUUAGUACGUUUUAUGAACGUCAUAAUUGAACUGUCACCCUCACUAUGCUACAGACCCUUAGACCAUUUAAAGUACAGACCACAUAGUAUAUUCCAUAAAAAUUUUAUGGUGUAGGUAUAAAUUACUUGUUGUUGAAGUUUUAUUGAUAUUUGUCACAGAAUUUCAUUUACAGCAGGUAAAAGCUCUGAAUAAUCAUUUACUACUAUACUAUUACUGCAAAACAUCAACAGUGAGAAGAAAGACCAGGAAAACUCCAUUUACUGAGAACCUGAAAAAAGAAGAAUGUCAAAUAAAAAUCACGAUAUAUACCUAUGUUUUAAUGCAGUAUGAUAUUGUAGGAAAGGAAAUGGUAUUAUAAAGGCUGCGUAGAGUUGUCACCGAGGUAUUUACUUACAAAUACAGAGAAUAAUUUUGGAUUUUGUGUCAUUUGCAAGAUUAUAGCAUGAUACCACACCAUAUACGAAAUGAGGAAAAAUAUAUUACAUUCAAAAUGAAAUUAAGGGACUAUCUGGUCGAUAAGUGCUAGGUACUACGCGGCAAAUGACUACAUGCAUGAAGAAAUUGCAUUGCAUUGAAAUGUAUUAAAGAAAACCAAAAAUAAAAUCAGUAUCACGCACUCGACAACUAAGGCAAACAAACUGGGUAUCCUUCCUAUAUAACUUGCAUUAUAUUAUAAUAAAGUGUAACUAGUAUAAUAAUUACAUUGUAUACAUAAUGUAAAUUGUAUGGUAUUGCUUGAAUAUGAAAUAAAUAAAUAAUUGGAUAUUUAUAUUAACCUGUUAAAUAAGAAAAUCCUAUUUUGAUUAAAUUGUAAGUCUUUGACAUUUUUAUCAUUACCACAUUACUUAGAUAGAAAUUGUCCGCUAGACACGCCAAAUUAGUUCAUUUUUCAGCGAGCCUCAAUAAUUUUUCAUAGAGCUAUUAAUACAAUAGAAUCACACCUUAGUAAAAGUGGUAAAAGAUAGGUAGGUACAUUAAACUAUAAAUAACUAUACAUUAUAGAUCCAUCCGUAUAAUAACAUUGGUAACUUCUAACUACACGUCCAGAGAAUUGCCUGCGUUGUGUAAUUAUGUCCGAAGUUACCGCCUGCAAUUACCUCAGUAAUAGCUCAGCAGGUUAAUGAAGUCGAAGGCUUGAAGCACUACUGAAGGACCUCACGAUACUUCCAAGAAACAAACUUACGAGUAUUUAGAGCAUUAGCUAGGUUCAUAGGUAGAUAUGGAUAAGUCUAAGUUGUAAGUUGUCUUAUAGGCACUCGCACGAUAGAGAACAGCUGGCCUAUUCACUAUUUGAUCUUUAAUAUGAAUCAAAUCUAAAACCUCAAAUCAAUUGACAAAAUAGGUAUCUGAUAUCCACCAGUAAGCACCGAAUGACAAUUUUACAUUGAAUCUCAAUUUCUUAUAUGUCAACCAGCAUACGUCAAUGAUAGUGAAUAAACCUGCAGGUGGGUUGGGUACCUAUACUAUACUAUAGCCUUUCUUGAUGGGUACUUACUGUUUACCAACAAAGAAAUUAGAAAUGAAGGUAGAAAUAGCAUGUCAUUUCAUAACUUUUUUAUUUUAAAUUAUACAUGGUUUGUUUAUAAAAUGUUAUAUAAAAUAUAUUAACCAUAUCUAAGCUUAUUGAUAAAAUUUAUGUUAAUUAUUUUUAUUAUUAGGGGCAGGGUCAGAAGUGGCAGGAGAGAGAUUUUUUGUUUAAGGGCCAAUAAAACAUUAUU